UGGGGAAUAUUGGACAAUGGGCGCAAGCCUGAUCCAGCCAUGCCGCGUGGAUGAUGAAGGCCCUAGGGUUGUAAAGUCCUUUCGACGGGGAAGAUAAUGACGGUACCCGUAGAAGAAGCCCCGGCUAACUUCGUGCCAGCAGCCGCGGUAAUACGAAGGGGGCUAGCGUUGCUCGGAAUCACUGGGCGUAAAGCGCACGUAGGCGGACUCUUAAGUCGGUGGUGAAAUCCUGGAGCUCAACUCCAGAACUGCCUUCGAUACUGAGAGUCUCGAGUCCGGAAGAGGUGGGUGGAAUUCCUAGUGUAGAGGUGAAAUUCGCAGAUAUUAGGAAGAACACCGGUGGCGAAGGCGGCCCACUGGUCCGGUACUGACGCUGAGGUGCGAAAGCGUGGGGAGCAAACAGGAUUAGAUACCCAAGUAGUCCCUGAGCGGGCUGGCAAGGCGCAU
rnacentral:rRNA from 1 species